UAAAGAGGAAUUCGGUAUCAGAAGAAGGUUCUCAACCUUUUGAGGCAAAGAAAUAAAAAACAGUGGCGGUUGAGAGCUCCGGCACGGCGGUUUUGGAAUUCCGGCGGUGGUUUCCGGUCAAGCUCGGUUCAGUUGAUUGAAAAGAACCUUGGGCCUGGAUUUAACUUUGAACUUGAAUUACUUGUUGGUGUGAAUGAAAAUUUACCACAGUAACUUCACUUUGUACCAUUAUUUUCUUGAAUGCUUGUGUAUGAUUUUGAUUGCAUCUUAAAUUCUCUUCUUCUUUGCAUAUGAUGAGCACCAUUGACAUGAAGAUGGAGAGAAAAGCCUUGGAGGGACUAUGGUGAACUCGAAGCCCAAACAUGAAGUUUGAAAGAAAAUGGUGGACUUAUGAAGUGACUUCAAUCUUGAUCACACAAAACUUUGAAUUCUUGUAAAAUAAAAUGUAGAAAUUUGAAUUCUUGCAACCAUAAUGAUGAAAUCUUGGAUUGUCAUGAAUUAGAUCUUUGUAUGAAAUAAAGACUUUUGCUUUGAAUUUUGUAAUCUUUGAUGUAUCGUUGGCUUGAAACUUUAGGAAUUUAAUUCCUCUUGAAUGAAUGUACCUUUAAAGUUCAUGUAAAACAAAUCUUGGAUCAUGAGUGCUAAUUUUGCAUUUUGAA